rnacentral:rRNA from 1 species
UACAGAGGGGGCAAGCGUUAUUCGGAAUUAUUGGGCGUAAAGGGCGCGUAGGCGGCUUUGCAAGUGACGGGUGAAAGCCCUCGGCUUAACCGAGGAACUGCCUGUCAGACUGUGAGGCUUGAGACCGGGAGAGGUGAGUGGAAUUCCCAGUGUAGCGGUGAAAUGCGUAGAUAUUGGGAGGAACACAGUGGCGAAGGCGGCUCACUGGACCGGAACUGACGCUGAGGCGCGAAAGCGUGGGGAGCAAACAGG